rnacentral:rRNA from 1 species
UUGGCAUGGAGAAAGUCUGACCGAGCACGCCGCGUGAGUGAAGAAGGUUUUCGGAUCGUAAAACUCUGUUGUUAGAGAAGAACAAGGAUGAGAGUAACUGUUCAUCCCUUGACGGUAUCUAACCAGAAAGCCACGGCUAACUACGUGCCAGCAGCCGCGGUAAUACGUAGGUGGCAAGCGUUGUCCGGAUUUAUUGGGCGUAAAGCGAGCGCAGGCGGUUUCUUAAGUCUGAUGUGAAAGCCCCCGGCUCAACCGGGGAGGGUCAUUGGAAACUGGGAGACUUGAGUGCAGAAGAGGAGAGUGGAAUUCCAUGUGUAGCGGUGAAAUGCGUAGAUAUAUGGAGGAACACCAGUGGCGAAGGCGGCUCUCUGGUCUGUAACUGACGCUGAGGCUCGAAAGCGUGGGGAGCAAACAGGAUAGA